rnacentral:rRNA from 1 species
UACAUGUGGGGCAAGCGUUGUUCGGAAUUACUGGGUGUAAAGGGUGCGCAGGCGGACUGGUGAGUCUGGGGUGAAAUCUCGCUGCUUAACAGCGAAACUGCCUUAGAUACUAUCAGUCUUGGAUAAGCGAGAGGUUCGUGGAAUUCCGAGUGUAGCAGUGAAAUGUGUAGAUAUUCGGAAGAACACCAGUGGCGAAGGCAGCGAACUGGCGCUUUAUCGACGCUCAUGCACGAAAGCAUGGGGAUCAAACAGG